rnacentral:rRNA from 1 species
GAGUUUGAUCGUGGCUCAGAUUGAACGCUGGCGGCAGGCCUAACACAUGCAAGUCGAGCGGUAGAGAGAAGCUUGCUUCUCUUGAGAGCGGCGGACGGGUGAGUAAUGCCUAGGAAUCUGCCUGGGUAGUGGGGGAUAACGCUCGGAAACGGACGCUAAUACCGCAUACGUCCUACGGGAGAAAGCAGGGGACCUUCGGGCCUUGCGCUAUCAGAUGAGCCUAGGUCGGAUUAGCUAGUUGGGUGAGGUAAUGGCUCACCAAGGCGACGAUCCGUAACUGGUCUGAGAGGAUGAUCAGUCACACUGGAACUGAGACACGGUCCAGACUCCUACGGGAGGCAGCAGUGGGGAUAUUGGACAAUGGGCGAAAGCCUGAUCCAGCCAUGCCGCGU